GACGAACGCUGGCGGCGUGCUUAACACAUGCAAGUCGAACGAAGUGGCGAACUGGUGAGUAACGCGUAAUCAACCUGCUCUUCAAAGGGGGACAACAGUUGGAAACGACUGCUAAUACCGCAUACUGAAGGAGGGGAUUGCGUCUGAUUAGCUAGUUGGAGGGGUACCGGCCCACCAAGGCGAGGAUCAGUAGCCGGCCUGAGAGGAGGAACGGCGACGUUGGGACGGAGACACGGCCCAGACUCCUACGGGUGGCAGCAGUGGGGAAUCUUCCGCAAUGGAAGAAAGUCUGACGGAGCAACGCCGCGUGAGUGAUGACGGCCUUCGGGUUGUAAAGCUCUGUUAAGCGGGACGCGGUACCGGAAUAGAAAGCCACGGCUAACUACGUGCCAGCAGCCGCGGUAAUUC
rnacentral:rRNA from 1 species